AACGGUUGAAGGGAUGAAAGCUGGGGGGAGCAAACCGGAUUAGAUAACCCGGGUAGUCCCAGCUGUAAACUAUGCAAACUCAGUGAUGUAUUAGCUUAUGGCCAAUGCAGUGCUGCAGGGAAGCCGUUAAGUUUGCCGCCUGGGAAGUACGUACGCAAGUAUGAAACUUAAAGGAAUUGGCGGGGGAGCACCACAAGGGGUGAAGCCUGCGAUUCAAUUGGAUUCAACGCCGGA
rnacentral:rRNA from 1 species